UAUUCGGAAUUGUCGUUUGUCGGUGUC
rnacentral:piRNA from 1 species